UCCUUAAGACCUAAAAUAUUUAGACUCCAACCCCAUUCCCCCCAAAAGCUAUCCGCACAUCUCCUCCAAUCUUCCCCGCUCAAACCAAUUAUCCCUAAAACCCUCGUCCUCUUGCUCUUGGAAAACAUAAAUCGUCAAGAGAGCAAAUGAGUUGGUGAGGCACUGUAUUCACCCAAACUUGAUGAUCAGUUGAGUGGAUAUAGGGUACUUGUGUUAUGGGCAUCAAUGUAGAAACAAACAAGUGUAAUAACCAUGAGUUACGAAUUUAAGGAUUUACAAGACUUCAGACAUGGAAACGCCUAGUUAUCAGAUACUAAGAAGUUGUGCAGCUUAUGAGGUUGGUAGUAUUUUCUUAGUGUUGUGCUUCAAACUAAUAACUGCUAAAUAAGGCUUAUGUUUUGAACGGUUUGUAAUCUUUUGGUAUAUCCAUUGCACUAAUAAUCUUAAGGUUUUAAAGAAGCAGGUUGUUGUUUCUCGCAGAAACUUACCCUGUCAAAGGAAAUGUUUUUCAGUUCAAACACUAUCCACUGAUGGUUACCAUUACUAUCCAGUCUCACAUUAGCUAGUUUGUUUUAAAACUUUUUUAUUCGUGUUGUAAAAGAGUUAUAUACCCUGGAUCUGUAUGCAAUUAUUCUUUCUCUUGUAAAAAAAAUAUCGAUACGUUUUGAAUAUUACAACAUUUUAGUAUUCUAAUUUAUCUUGAA